UUCCUUUGGAGCCAGCAUCAGCGACGGACGUACUUAGUGCAGUCAAGAGAAAAUAAAUCGUGAAUCUCGUUCUGCCAUUGAUAUAAAGAAAUUAAUCUCGCUACCCAUAAGUGGGCAGUGAAAUAGAUAUUUUGGUGCAGAAUUGUUGGCAACGAGGAAAAAGGGAAAACAACAAAAAUAAGUCCACGCGCAGCAAGUUGAAGGCCAGCUUUAUUAAUUUAGCGACGGCGCAAUAGCGUGAGGCCCCAUAAAGGCAAACAUUGUGAGCUUGGUGCCCGAUUCUGGAACCGCGCACCGCAUCGAAUGCACUCGAAUCUGACCUAAAAGUGGCUAAAGGCUCUGUCGCAAUUGCUACGUGAGGACGCACGUUAUACCUUUGCGAGAAUUGGGAGUGGCCAAGAAAUUCGGCGCCUCCCAGAGCAGGUUUCAAGCGACUGUUGCUAAUCAAGGACUCCAUAGUUCGUGGCAAUGCCUUUGAAACCAUGCAAUAUCCAUGAUAAGUGCAUGAGCAUGGUGUUUCGUCCAUAGAAAGCUACUUCACUACAACAGCACUCGUGUCGAGCGCGAAACUAAACCCAGCAUUUUACUAGGAAGGAGAGAGAAGGUUCUGCCACAUGACCAAGGACAGGUCACAGGUCCAACGCGAAUAGCCAUGUUAGGCUAUCGCCAUCUGAAAUUUGUUUAAUUUUAAUUUUGAGUUAGGUUAUUAAUUUGAACUUUUCUGUCUAACUACAGAAGCAGUUAUUUAAUAUAAUUUCCACAACAACAAGUGUAUGUAAAGAAAGCGCAGCAUGUCUUCGAUGUAGGAUGGAUAUGUUUUGUUUGAUAAAAUUGGCAACCAAAACCAAAA